UUCUGUACAUAAUGUAUUUUUUCUAUGCUGAUGAUACUCUGCUAUCUGAUUUCUAUGCUCUUUACAGCAACACUGACCUGCUUUACUCAGCUCAACACUUUCAGAUGAUUCUGCCGCCUUCUUUGCUACUAAUGACAUUGUGCUGGUGCUACCUGCUCAUACCUUCUACUCACUCCAGACUCCAGUUUCUCACACUGGCAUCAAUACAGACACAUUAUGGCUUUCACACAGGUUGUGCUUAUCUGUAAUUUUACAUACAUGAGAAACUGGUUUCUGGAAUAUGAACUUGCUGCAAAUUGAAAACACAGCAGUGCUGCUUACUAAAAAAUUAAUAACUAAAAAAAAAACAAAAAACCAACUAAUAAUUUCUGUUGUCUUUCAUUAUCAUUAGAUAGUGAUCUCUACAUUACAUACUCUGGAUCUCGAGAGUUUGUUGGCAUCCACAAGUUUGGGGAAAACAGACUUGCACCUGCAAGCAGUGAUAAAGAGCAGUACUAUGUGGGCCUGGUGCUCAUCAAACGGAUAGAUGAUCCCCGGCAGAGCAAAGUCUAUGCCUUCUAUAAGGAGAAAAACAGAGAGACAGGCUUGGGCAGUGAAAUGUGGCUCCCUUUUGUGACCCAGGUUUGCAUGAAAGAUCGUGGUGGUCGCAAAAACAACCUGCAGUUUAGCUGGACGUCUCAGAUGAAUGCCAGGCUCUACUGUGGAGACCCUGACAGCAGACAGCAUUUCUCUGAGCUGGUGGAUGUGGCUACUGUGCAUGCACACCUUUGGCAGGAUACCAGGAUUUAUGCACUCUUCAGAAAUGAAUGGGGUAUGAGUGCUGUGUGUGUCUACAUGAUACAAGACAUUGAAAACAUUUUCAUGACUUCCCCAUUUAAAGGCAAUGAGAA